rnacentral:tRNA from 1 species
GGCCCGUGUCGCGGCUUGAUUUUCAGACUACGAAUCUGAGGGUCGGACGUUCGAAUCGUUCCGGGCGCGCCA